UACAGAGGGGGCAAGCGUUGUCCGGAAUCACUGGGCGUAAAGGGCGCGUAGGCGGCUCAUGAAGGCUGUGGUGAAAGCCCUGGGCUCAACCUGGGAAUUGCAGUGGAUACUGGCAAGCUAGAGUGCGGUAGAGGAUGGUGGAAUUCCCGGUGUAGCGGUGAAAUGCGUAGAGAUCGGGAGGAACACCCGUGGCGAAGGCGGCCAUCUGGACCAGCACUGACGCUGAGGCACGAAAGCGUGGGGAGCAAACAGG
rnacentral:rRNA from 1 species